UGUGGACCGAUCCUGCUAAGCAGAGAAUC
rnacentral:piRNA from 1 species